rnacentral:tRNA from 1 species
UAGAACAAGGUGUGAUAGGUGGCACAGAGAAAUUUGGAUUCUCAGGAGUAGGUUCGAUGCCUAUGGUUCUAG